CCUACGGGGGGCAGCAGUGAGGAAUAUUGGUCAAUGGCCGGAAGGCUGAACCAGCCAAGCCGCGUGAAGGACGAAGGUGCCAAGCAUUGUAAACUUCUUUUGUCAAGGGACAAAAUCAGGCUCGAGAGCCUGACCGAGGGUACUUGAAGAAAAAGCAUCGGCUAACUCCGUGCCAGCAGCCGCGGUAAGACGGAGGAUGCGAGCGUUAUCCGGAUUUAUUGGGUUUAAAGGGUGCGUAGGCGGGCUGUUAAGUCAGCGGUAAAAGCCCGGGGCUCGACCCCGGCGAGCGGUGGAAACUGGCUGUCUUGGGAUGGCGGGAGGUAUGCGGAAUGCGCGGGGUAGCGGUG
rnacentral:rRNA from 1 species